rnacentral:rRNA from 1 species
GAUGAACGCUGGCGGCGUGCCUAAUACAUGCAAGUCGAGCGAACGGACGAGAAGCUUGCUUCUCUGAUGUUAGCGGCGGACGGGUGAGUAACACGUGGAUAACCUACCUAUAAGACUGGGAUAACUGCGGGAAACCGGAGCUAAUACCGGAUGAUAUUUUGAACCGCAUGGGUCAAAAGUGAAAGACGGUCUUGCGGUCACUUAUAGAUGGAUCCGCGCUGCAUUAGCGAGUUGGUAAGGUAACGGCUUACCAAGGCAACGAUGCAUAGCCGACCUGAGAGGGUGAUCGGCCACACUGGAACUGAGACACGGUCCAGACUCCUACGGGAGGCAGCAGUAGGGAAUCUUCCGCAAUGGGCGAAAGCCUGACGGAGCAACACCGCGUGAGUGAUGAAGGUCUUCGGAUCGUAAAACUCUGUUAUUAGGGAAGAACAUAUGUGUAAGUAACUGUGCACAUCUUGACGGUACCUAAUCAGAAAGCCACGGCUAACUACGUG